rnacentral:lncRNA from 1 species
CCGAUUUCUCCUGUGUGGACCAUGCAGGGACCCCAGGAAAGAGCAGACACCAGGGAAGUGACAAGAGGCCGAGGAGAAGGCAGUCGGAGGCAGCUCUGCCAUGAACAGUAGCAUCCAUCCUCCUGGCUACAUGCCCAGAAGGCCCGAGAUGGACUGAAGAAUCCCUCAGGUUUCUAGUGAUGGAUGUUAAGUGAACUGGUGGUGUUAUUGUGCAGUCUGUGUGCAUCGAGUCCCUGUGCUGACUUCUUAAACUUACACGGCGCCCACUCAGCUCUGCUUCAGCUGCUGGAGUAGCGAAUAGCCGUGCAGAGGCCUUUCCGGCUGUCCCCCGCCUCAGAGAGAACUCACUCCUCCUGGUACUAGCGCUCCUCUCCACAGUCUGACUUGGUGAAGAGCAGGAGGAGGGGACACGAGUUUCACAAUUCUUCACUCAGCGACUGUGCACCGAGCACGCACCCUGUGCCAGGUGCUCAGAUGUCUGUGCAGAUGUCCCUGUGUGCCUGAACUAAGGAAUAGAAUUUCUCGAGGGGGUAUCCCCCUGUGGCGAUGUCCAGCAGGCCCUGAUGCCUCCUGGCCCGUCUGCC